rnacentral:rRNA from 1 species
UGUGGAAUUUUGCGCAAUGGGGGAAACCCUGACGCAGCAACGCCGCGUGAGUGAUGAAGGCCUUCGGGUCGUAAAGCUCUGUCAGAGGGAAAGAAGUGUAAGGCGGUUAAUACCCGUUUUACUUGACGGUACCCUCAAAGGAAGCACCGGCUAACUCCGUGCCAGCAGCCGCGGUAAUACGGGGGGUGCAAGCGUUGUUCGGAAUUAUUGGGCGUAAAGAGCGUGUAGGCGGCCGGAUGUGUCAGAUGUGAAAGCCCUGGGCUUAACCCAGGAAGUGCAUUUGAAACUGUCCGGCUUGAGUAGGGGAGAGGGAAGUGGAAUUCCUGGUGUAGAGGUGAAAUUCGUAGAUAUCAGGAGGAACACCGGUGGCGAAGGCGACUUCCUGGCCCUAUACUGACGCUGAGACGCGAGAGCGUGGGUAGCAAACA